rnacentral:rRNA from 1 species
CCCAGACUCCUACGGGAGGCAGCAGUGAGGAAUAUUGGUCAAUGGGCGCAAGCCUGAACCAGCCAAGUCGCGUGAGGGAUGACGGUCCUAUGGAUUGUAAACCUCUUUUGUCGGGGAGCAAGGCCCGCCACGUGUGGCGGGAAGGAGAGUACCCGAAGAAAAAGCAUCGGCUAACUCCGUGCCAGCAGCCGCGGUAAUACGGAGGAUGCGAGCGUUAUCCGGAUUUAUUGGGUUUAAAGGGUGCGUAGGCGGAACAUUAAGUCAGCGGUAAAAUCGAGGGGCUCAACCCCUUUAAGCCGUUGAAACUGGUGAUCUUGAGUGGGCGAGAAGUAUGCGGAAUGCGUGGUGUAGCGGUGAAAUGCAUAGAUAUCACGCAGAACUCCGAUUGCGAAGGCAGCAUACCGGCGCCCGACUGACGCUGAGGCACGAAAGCGUGGGGAUCGAACAGGAUUAGAUACCCUCGUAA